AAUUAUGUUUAAAUGUUUUAUGUGAUAAGAAAUUUUAAAUAAGGUACAGCUAAAUGAUAUCGUUAAUUAUUUUUCAUUUGUUUCAUGGAGGUUUAAAAAACUAUUUUAUACUUAUUAGGCGAAAAAGACGAUCAAAUAAACUAAUUUCUGCCAAACAAGUGUAACAUAUGUUACACAUGUUUUUUUGUAAUUUUUGAGUUGCUGAAUAUGAUGAUAUCAGUUUUAAUUGUCAAAAUUCGUAUUAAAGGGGUCAAAAAUUAAAAAAAAACCUUAUUUUGGUCCCUUUAAGACAAAUUUUUACCAUUUUCCCACAGCUUAAGACAAAUAAAACUGACUAUUACUAUCGUAUUCAGCAGCUCAAAAACUAUAAGAAAACAUGUAUAACUUACAUUACAUUUCUUAGGCAGAAAUCGGUCUAUUUAAUCUAUUUUGUCCUUUAUAGUAUUCCUUAUUCAGUGUAUUAGUUAUAUUAAUAUUUCAAUGAUUAAUAAGUAUAAAUGCAAACAUUAAAUGCGAUGUUUUAUCUUGCAGAUGAUAAUAUUGCAAGUAAAGAAAAUGAAUAUCCGGCCGUAGCAGAGAUACAAGAUGAAAUUCGUGAAGAAGUUUUACAUAAGAAAUGCAACAAUGUCCCACUUAAGGAAUUACAAAUAAAAUUAUCAAGAAUCGAUGACAGUAUUCUACAUAAAAUAGCCAAAAAAAAUGAAAGUUAUAAAAAAACAAUUACAAAAAGAAAGUGUUCGACUAAAUUAAGAAUAUAACCAGAAGUCUAUUCUUUAUGUACUUAUGGAGUUAUAACCUUCAAAUAAGAGUUAUAAUCUACGUUACAAAUUGGACAUCGUUUUGAUUGCAAUUGCAAGAUACAAUCCAUACAACAACAUAAGUGACCACAAGGAAUAAAUAUAUGAUCUGCUCUUUUUACUAAGCAGACACUGCAACAGUUAGAUGUACGUAUAUUAGAUAUUGGCUGCACUGGGUAAUAUGGAAUAUCUUCUUUUUCGGUUUCAUCUGGAAAAAUAUUGCCAUAAUCAUCGGGAGGAAUGCAAUAAAUAUCUUCAUCACCUGCAAUAAAAGGAAAUUAUGAUUUUAGGGUACAAUUAGCAAAUGUUUGUUUUAUAUGUAACAUUAAUGCAGUUUAAAAUAGAGAAAAACAGAAAAUUACACUUAUAAUAGAUUUUGUUUUGAUAAGAACGCUAUAUAUCAUAUGUAUUAUCUUAUCUUCUAUGAAGCAUAAACAAAAUUUAAAGGCUAAAAGAAUCAAUAUUCAGUAAAUUAUUUUACUUAUAAUAUACUAUACUUUGUAAUAAUAAAAAUUAUUAUACAUAUAAAGUAUAAAGUAUUGUCAGAAAAUUUAUAAAUUUUGAGUAAGUGUAAUUUUCUGUUUUUCUCUAUUUUAAACUGCAUUAAUGUUACAUAUAAAACAAACAUUUGCUAAUUGUACCCUAAAAUCAUAAUUUCCUUUUAUUGCAGGUGAUGAAGAUAUUUAUUGCAUUCCUCCCGAUGAUUAUGGCAAUAUUUUUCCAGAUGAAACCGAAAAAGAAGAUAUUCCAUAUUACCCAGUGCAGCCAAUAUCUAAUAUACGUACAUCUAACUGUUGCAGCGUCUGCUUAGUAAAAAGAGCAGAUCAUAUAUUUAUUCCUUGUGGUCACUUAUGUUGUUGUAUGGAUUGUAUCUUGCAAUUGCAAUCAAAACGAUGUCCAAUUUGUAACGUAGAUUAUAACUCUUAUUUGAAGGUUAUAACUCCAUAAGUACAUAAAGAAUAGACUAAAAAUAUAACUUUUUUAAUAUUAAUAACUGAACUAUAACACUAUAGUAUCUAAAUUAUAGCAUUGAAAAGGAAUCUCAAAAUCUAUGUUCAGAAAUAUUUUCUUUAAUUAUAAAAAUAUUAUUUAAGAU